CCUUUGUACACACCGCCCGUCGCUACUACCGAUUGAAUGGCUUAGUGAGGUCUUCGGAUCGGUUUCGAGCAGCCGGCAACGGCAGCUUGUUACUGAAAAGUUGAUCAAACUUGGUCAUUUAGAGG
rnacentral:rRNA from 1 species